UUGAGGUUUCUUUGCUCAGGGCCGAGGGCCAUGCCGACAAUGAUUUUCUCAAAAACGUAGAGCCGGUAGUCAUUCUUAAGUAUGCCUGCACACAGCAUAGAGUCAGCUGUGUAAGCUAUGCACCAACAGGUACAUUUUUCUUUCUAAUAACUUUAUAUUUUUUUGUUGAGUCUAAGAGCGAAACUCACACACACUGGAUUUGAGAACUAUGAGUUUAAACUCGCAUCCUAACAUAUUAAAUAUCAUUGCAAUCAUGUAGCAUUCAAUUAUCACUUACUAACGAUUAUUAUUGUCAAUAACAGUUUCUGGAACUUACCCAUGGUGGAAUCAAUUUUUUUAUUUCGAUGUUAUUACUCCUCAUAUUGCUGAACUUACCAUGAAAUUAUAUGAUAACUAGUAUGUGGACCCGUGCCAAGCACGGGCUAGAACUUCUCGAUACUUGAGGCGAAAAUAUGUUGUGAGUCUAACAUUGAAUAGAUCAGUGGAAGUUGAACAAACUCUUACACUUAUGUGGUUGCUCUUUGUGGGGAAGUGGCAGUCAUAUACCUAAUACGUUAAGGUUUAGGGUGGAGAUGUGGUGUCAAUCUCACAUUUGUGGUAUUUGUUAGUCUAAUGUGAUGAUGAUAAACUGUUCUUUUA